CAUUAAAGAGUUCUAUAACUCCCAAACCCAUGUGAACAUACCUAACGUUGCCUCGGCAGGUCGCACCUACCUUGUAGCACCCUACCCUGUAGGGCCUACCCGGGAGGUGCGGGUAAGCCUGCCGGCGGCCCACCAAACUCUGUUUGAUAUUGAAUUCUGAACCUAUAACUAAAUAAGUUAAAACUUUCAACAACGGAUCUCUUGGUUCUGGCAUCGAUGAAGAACGCAGCGAAAUGCGAUAAGUAAUGUGAAUUGCAGAAUUCAGUGAAUCAUCGAAUCUUUGAACGCAUAUUGCGCCCAUUAGUAUUCUAGUGGGCAGGACCGUUCGAGCGUCAUUUCAACCCUUAAGCCUUCGUUGCUUAGUGUUGGGAGCCUACGGCAACGUAGCUCCUCAAAGUUAGUGGCGGAGUUGGUUCACACUCUAGACGUAGUAAUUUUUUAUCUCGCCUAUUAGUUGGACUAAUCCCCUGCCGUAAAACCCCCAAUUUAUCAAGGUUGACCUCGAAUCGGUUCAGACAAACUCGCUAAAUUGAAGCAUCUUAGUCAGCGAAGGAAAAGAAACCAACAGGGAUUGCCCUAGUAACGGCGAGUGAAGCGGCAACAGCUCAAAUUUGAAA
rnacentral:rRNA from 1 species